rnacentral:rRNA from 1 species
UACGGAGGGUGCGAGCGUUGUCCGGAAUCACUGGGCGUAAAGGGCGCGUAGGUGGCGCGGGCAGUCAACGGUGAAAGUUCGGGGCUCAACCCUGAAUCGGCCGUCGAUACUCCCGGGCUUGAGCACUGUAGAGGCAGAUGGAAUUCCGGGUGUAGCGGUGGAAUGCGUAGAGAUCCGGAAGAACACCGGUGGCGAAGGCGGUGAGCUGGGCAGUUGCUGACACUGAGGCGCGACAGCGUGGGGAGCAAACAGG